rnacentral:sRNA from 1 species
GCCGAAAGAUCGGGACCCGUCUCGGUCAG